rnacentral:rRNA from 1 species
GCUCAGAACGAACGCUGGCGGCGUGGAUAAGACAUGCAAGUCGAACGAGAGAAUUGCUAGCUUGCUAAUAAUUCUCUAGUGGCGCACGGGUGAGUAACACGUGAGUAACCUGCCCCCGAGAGCGGGAUAGCCCUGGGAAACUGGGAUUAGUACCGCAUAGUAUCGAAAGAUUAAAGCAGCAAUGCGCUUGGGGAUGGGCUCGCGGCCUAUUAGUUAGUUGGUGAGGUAACGGCUCACCAAGGCGAUGACGGGUAGCCGGUCUGAGAGGAUGUCCGGCCACACUGGAACUGAGACACGGUCCAGACACCUACGGGUGGCAGCAGUCGAGAAUCAUUCACAAUGGGGGAAACCCUGAUGGUGCGACGCCGCGUGGGGGAAUGAAGGUCUUCGGAUUGUAAACCCCUGUCAUGUGGGAGCAAAUUAAAAAGAUAGUACCACAAGAGGAAGAGACGGCUAACUCUGUGCCAGCAGCCGCGGUAAUACAGAGGUCUCAAGCGUUGUUCGGAAUCACUGGGCGUAAAGCGUGCGUAG